rnacentral:piRNA from 1 species
UACAAUUACAAGCGUAUUCUUCGUGGU